rnacentral:rRNA from 1 species
AUUGAACGCUAGCGGCAUGCCUAACACAUGCAAGUCGAGCGGAGCGGCGGACGGGUGAGUAAUGUCUAGGAAUCUGCCCGGUAGUGGGGGAUAACGUCCGGAAACGGGAGCUAAUACCGCAUACUAUCAGAUGAGCCUAGGUCGGAAUAGCUAGUUGGUGGGGUAAAGGCAUACCAAGGCGACGAUCCGUAACUGGUCUGAGAGGAUGAUCAGUCACACUGGAACUGAGACACGGUCCAGACUCCUACGGGAGGCAGCAGUGGGGAAUAUUGGACAAUGGGCGAAAGCCUGAUCCAGCCAUGCCGCGUGUGUGAUGAAGGUCUUCGGGUUGUAAAGCACUUUAAGUUGGGAGGCGUUACCUACAGAAUAAGCACCGGCUAACUUCGUGCCAGCCGCCGCGGUAAUAC